AACUCUGCAACAUAAGGCAACCGUUCACUAGGAUCUGUACUCCAAUGAUGGAUAUGACAACGCAAUUGCGCCUUUUCCAAAUUAUUUAUGUAAUGCACUCUUCCGGACAAUGAAUACCGGCCUUUCGAAGGGAUGCUCUAAUGUGCCAAGGUUCGACAACCCAUGGCUGAUCCUUAUUCAUAACCACAGCCAGUCUAAAACGUUCGAUAAUAUUUAUCGUCUAUGAAAAUCAGAAUACAUUAAAAGUGUUUGUAAAUAAAUGAUAAACACUCUUAUA